GACGAACGCUGGCGGCGUGCUUAACACAUGCAAGUCGAACGGUAAGGCCCUUCGGGGUACACGAGUGGCGAACGGGUGAGUAACACGUGGGUGAUCUGCCCUGCACUUCGGGAUAAGCCUGGGAAACUGGGUCUAAUACCGGAUAGGACCCUGGGAUGCAUGUCCUGGGGUGGAAAGCUUUUGCGGUGUGGGAUGGGCCCGCGGCCUAUCAGCUUGUUGGUGGGGUGAUGGCCUACCAAGGCGACGACGGGUAGCCGGGCUGAGAGGGUGACCGGCCACACUGGGACUGAGAUACGGCCGAGACUCCUACGGGAGGCAGCAGUGGGGAAUAUUGCACAAUGGGCGCAAGCCGGAUGCAGCGACGCCGCGUGAGGGAUGGCGGCCUUCGGGUUGUAAACCUCUUUCAGCACCGACGAAGCGCAAGUGACGGUAGGUGCAGAAGAAGGACCGGCCAACUACGUGCCAGCAGCCGCCGUAA
rnacentral:rRNA from 1 species